rnacentral:rRNA from 1 species
AUUCCCUAGUACGGCGAGUGAACCGGGAAGAGCUCAAAUUUGAAAUCUGGCGUCCUCAGGGCGUCCGAGUUGUAAUCUAUAGAGGCGUUUUCCGUGCCGGACCGUGUCCAAGUUCCUUGGAACAGGAUAUCAAAGAGGGUGACAAUCCCGUACUUGACACGACGACCGGUGCUCUGUGAUACGUCUUCUACGAGUCGAGUUGUUUGGGAAUGCAGCUCAAAAUGGGUGGUGAGUUCCAUCUAAAGCUAAAUAUUGGCGAGAGACCGAUAGCGAACAAGUACCGUGAGGGAAAGAUGAAAAGCACUUUGGAAAGAGAGUUAAACAGUACGUGAAAUUGUUGAAAGGGAAACGAUUGAAGUCAGUCGUGACCGAGAGGCUCAGCCGGCUCUGCCGGUGUAUUCCCCUCGGUCGGGUCAACAUCAGUUUUGUCCGGUGGAUAAGGGCGGUAGGAAGGUAGCACCCUCGGGUGUGUUAUAGCCUGCCGUCGCAUACAUCGGGUGAGACUGAGGAAUGCAGCUCGCCUUUAUGGCCGGGGUUCGCCCACGUCCGAGCUUAGGAUGUUGACAUAAUGGCUUUAAACGACCCGUCUUGAACCACGGACCAAA